rnacentral:lncRNA from 1 species
ACUCAAUGAGCCUCUUUAUUCGUCCCAACCGUAUCCAAAUGAUUAGUGUCUAGUGAUGUUUGGAGGGCCGGGACAUCCACGAACACAUAUUCCAGCAGAGCACAUACAGAUUCCACAGCGCUUACAUAUAGGAAAGCAGUCUUCGUUCACAUUGCAAAAUGGUAGCUUCUCUGCACUAAUUCCUCUUGUGGGUAUUUCUGGUAAAAACGAUGGAUUUAGAAUUUAAGUUCUAUCAUUUUGGUCUUUAUUAUAAGUUUCAUCUAGUAUUUGUUUCAAUGAUAGAGUAUUUUUAUACAUAAAUUUAUAUAUUGUGCUAAAUUAUUAGAUUCGAAUGAACUCGGUACCACAACACUAGGUCCGCCCUUGCCUGCAUGCCAUAUUUACUUUUUUCAUUAAGCAAAUACAAGAUAGUUGCUUUUUUUUUUCCUUCACUUGUACCGUCAUAUGACGGUAGUUGGGCCAAUAUGUUAAUUAGAAAUAGUUUGAUUACAUUUGCCAAUUGAAAAUUAGCCACAAAUUUAGUUAUUUUUUCAUGUAAAAAUAAAUCUGAAUGAAACACCCUUAAAAAUCUGAAAAAAAUUCAGCAUAAUAUGCUGGAAUUUGAAUGUUUUAUAUAUGAGAUUCUAGCAUAAUGUGUAGAAGUUCCAACAUAAUAUAUUGAAAGUUUAUAUGCAGGAGCUCCAUAAUCGAGCAUACUAUGCUGAAACUUUCUGUGUUUCAGUUAUGGUAUUUUGGUCCAAAUUUUAUCUCCGCAUAAAAUAGUGGUUAUUUUUCAAUAAAUUUACAAAUGCUGGUUAUUUUUCAAUUAUUAGUCCGAAAACUAGGUAGCCAUUGCCAUUUGACAAUAUGUUAAUAAACAAUCAUGAGUUAAAUUUUUGUUCAAUGAUAGUGCGUGUAAAGGAAUGUUUAGACAAUCAAGUCACUUAAAAGAUGAUUACAUGUAACCAUCCAUAAAUUCUGAGAUUAAUAACCUGAAAAAUUAGAUAGAUUACAUGUCACCACAUGUUGAAGUAGGAGAACUGUGUGGGUAUUGAUUUGCCGGUCUUGUAAUCAGUACAUUUGGCUCAUUUGUUUUAGUGAAGUUGAAGCUAAAAUAAAAACCAAGUUCUUUAGUAAUUAAGGAAGGCAAGAACCAAGUUCUUUAGUAAUUUAGGAAGGCACACAAACUAACCGUCAAAAUGAGAAACUAAAUAAUAAAUCCAUUUUUAUGCACUAGGUGUACCAAUGUUAUGUUGCAUGCAUAAGAGAAAUGAAUUUGAUAACUAAUGAUCAGACUCCAAGUAUCUUUCGAUUUCUUCAUUGAACCCCAAUAAUAUGAAUGGUAUAAAGUUAAUAGUACUAGUGCGUGUUAUUAUCAGUUUUAGUCAAACACAAGAGUAACAAGACAUAAUACGAAGAUGCGAAAGUAAGUCGUAUUACUGGGAUGUGAUAUAUCUUGAUGAGUAUCCACAAAUACCGGAACAGAUUCCCAGGUAUUGCUUAAUCCAAUUUCUAUCAUCUUAUCAAAUACUCCCUCCAUUUCGAUUUACGUGAACUCAUUUGACUGGGCACGAAAUUUAAGAAAAGAGAGAAUACUUUUGAACUUGUNNNNNNNNNNNNNNNNNNNNNNNNNNNNNNNNNNNNNNNNGUAUAAAGGUAAAUUGUUUCCAAAUAGGAAAAGCGGACAUUCUUUUUCGCACAGAUUAAAAAAAAAAUAGAUUCAUAUAAAUUAAAACGGAGAAAGUAUAUAUUAUUUAUAUUUGUUGAAUGAUUGCAGGUUUCUCCUCGGAGCGAUGGAUCAUCCACCAUAUUUACCGUGAGACAAAUACGGUAGCACACACUCUAACUAG